rnacentral:rRNA from 1 species
UGAGGAAUAUUGGUCAAUGGGCGUAAGCCUGAACCAGCCAAGUCGCGUGAGGGAAGACGGCCCUAUGGGUUGUAAACCUCUUUUGUCGGGGAGCAAAGCCGCCCACGAGUGGGCGGAAGGAGAGUACCCGAAGAAAAAGCAUCGGCUAACUCCGUGCCAGCAGCCGCGGUAAUACGUAGGGGGCAAGCGUUAUCCGGAUUUACUGGGUGUAAAGGGAGCGUAGACGGCUGAGCAAGUCAGAAGUGAAAGCCCGGGGCUCAACCCCGGGACUGCUUUUGAAACUGUCCGGCUCGAGUGCAGGAGAGGUAAGCGGAAUUCCUAGUGUAGCGGUGAAAUGCGUAGAUAUUAGGAGGAACACCAGUGGCGAAGGCGGCUUACUGGACUGUAACUGACGUUGAGGCUCGAAAGCGUGGGGAGCAAACAGGAUUAGAUACCC